rnacentral:sRNA from 1 species
UAGAAAGGAACUCCGUCUAAGAACGCCACGUCCUUUGGCAACGAUGGAGUGACUAACAUCAUGUUAG